rnacentral:misc_RNA from 1 species
GUGAAUCAUCGAAUUUUUGAACGCAAAUUGCACUCUCUUGGAAGAGUAUGAGUGUUUGAGUGUCAGACUAAAAAAAAUCUACAUAGUUGCUGUUACGCGGUAACAUUCGUCGGAAAUUGGGUCAUCUUAAACCUUUGUGUUUAAGCGGCUUAAAAUUUUCUUUACGAUUCCAAGAACGUUUCUAGAAUUUUAUUUUCUUAUACGUUUCAGGUAUCGAUAUUUAUUCA